UUAAGCGACUAAGCGUACACGGUGGAUGCCCUGGCAGUCAGAGGCGAUGAAGGACGUGCUAAUCUGCGAAAAGCGUCGGUAAGGUGAUAUGAACCGUUACAGCCGGCGAUGUCCGAAUGGGGAAACCCAGUGCAAUUCGUUGCACUAUCGUUAACUGAAUACAUAGGUUAACGAGGCGAACCGGGGGAACUGAAACAUCUAAGUACCCCGAGGAAAAGAAAUCAACCGAGAUUCCCCCAGUAGCGGCGAGCGAACGGGGAGCAGCCCAGAGUCUGAAUCAGCUUGUGUGUUAGUGGAACGGUCUGGAAAGUCCGACGGUACAGGGUGAUAGUCCCGUACACCAAAAUGCACAGGUUGUGAACUCGAAGAGUAGGGCGGGACACGUGGUAUCCUGUCUGAAUAUGGGGGACCAUCCUCCAAGGCUAAAUACUCCUGACUGACCGAUAGUGAACCAGUACCGUGAGGGAAAGGCGAAAAGAACCCCGGCGAGGGGAGUGAAAAAGAACCUGAAACCGUGUACGUACAAGCAGUGGGAGCACCUUCGGGUGUGACUGCGUACCUUUUGUAUAAUGGGUCAGCGACUUAUAUUCUGUAGCAAGGUUAACCGUAUAGGGGAGCCGCAGGGAAACCGAGUCUUAACUGGGCGUUAAGUUGCAGGGUAUAGACCCGAAACCCGGUGAUCUAGCCAUGGGCAGGUUGAAGGUUGGGUAACACUAACUGGAGGACCGAACCGACUAAUGUUGAAAAAUUAGCGGAUGACUUGUGGCUGGGGGUGAAAGGCCAAUCAAACCGGGAGAUAGCUGGUUCUCCCCGAAAGCUAUUUAGGUAGCGCCUCGUGAAUUCAUCUUCGGGGGUAGAGCACUGUUUCGGCUAGGGGGUCAUCCCGACUUACCAACCCGAUGCAAACUACGAAUACCGAAGAAUGUUAUCACGGGAGACACACGGCGGGUGCUAACGUCCGUCGUGAAGAGGGAAACAACCCAGACCGCCAGCUAAGGUCCCAAAGUCACAGUUAAGUGGGAAACGAUGUGGGAAGGCACAGACAGCCAGGAUGUUGGCUUAGAAGCAGCCAUCAUUUAAAGAAAGCGUAAUAGCUCACUGGUCGAGUCGGCCUGCGCGGAAGAUGUAACGGGGCUAAACUGUGCACCGAAGCUGCGGCAGCGACACUAUGUGUUGUUGGGUAGGGGAGCGUUCUGUAAGCCUGCGAAGGUGGCCUGUGAGGGUUGCUGGAGGUAUCAGAAGUGCGAAUGCUGACAUAAGUAACGAUAAUGCGGGUGAAAAGCCCGCACGCCGGAAGACCAAGGGUUCCUGUCCAACGUUAAUCGGGGCAGGGUGAGUCGACCCCUAAGGCGAGGCCGAAAGGCGUAGUCGAUGGGAAACAGGUUAAUAUUCCUGUACUUGGUGUUACUGCGAAGGGGGGACGGAGAAGGCUAUGUUAGCCGGGCGACGGUUGUCCCGGUUUAAGCAUGUAGGCGGAGGUUCCAGGUAAAUCCGGUACCUUUUAACGCUGAGGUGUGAUGACGAGGCACUACGGUGCUGAAGUAACAAAUGCCCUGCUUCCAGGAAAAGCCUCUAAGCAUCAGGUAACAUUAAAUCGUACCCCAAACCGACACAGGUGGUCAGGUAGAGAAUACCAAGGCGCUUGAGAGAACUCGGGUGAAGGAACUAGGCAAAAUGGUGCCGUAACUUCGGGAGAAGGCACGCUGAUAUGUAGGUGAAGCCCCUGCGGGUGGAGCUGAAAUCAGUCGAAGAUACCAGCUGGCUGCAACUGUUUAUUAAAAACACAGCACUGUGCAAACACGAAAGUGGACGUAUACGGUGUGACGCCUGCCCGGUGCCGGAAGGUUAAUUGAUGGGGUUAUCCGUAAGGAGAAGCUCUUGAUCGAAGCCCCGGUAAACGGCGGCCGUAACUAUAACGGUCCUAAGGUAGCGAAAUUCCUUGUCGGGUAAGUUCCGACCUGCACGAAUGGCGUAAUGAUGGCCAGGCUGUCUCCACCCGAGACUCAGUGAAAUUGAACUCGCUGUGAAGAUGCAGUGUACCCGCGGCAAGACGGAAAGACCCCGUGAACCUUUACUAUAGCUUGACACUGAACAUUGAGCCUUGAUGUGUAGGAUAGGUGGGAGGCUUUGAAGCGUGGACGCCAGUCUGCGUGGAGCCAACCUUGAAAUACCACCCUUUAAUGUUUGAUGUUCUAACGUUGGCCCCUUAUCGGGGUUGCGGACAGUGUCUGGUGGGUAGUUUGACUGGGGCGGUCUCCUCCCAAAGAGUAACGGAGGAGCACGAAGGUUAGCUAAUCCUGGUCGGACAUCAGGAGGUUAGUGCAAUGGCAUAAGCUAGCUUGACUGCGAGCGUGACGGCGCGAGCAGGUGCGAAAGCAGGUCAUAGUGAUCCGGUGGUUCUGAAUGGAAGGGCCAUCGCUCAACGGAUAAAAGGUACUCCGGGGAUAACAGGCUGAUACCGCCCAAGAGUUCAUAUCGACGGCGGUGUUUGGCACCUCGAUGUCGGCUCAUCACAUCCUGGGGCUGAAGUAGGUCCCAAGGGUAUGGCUGUUCGCCAUUUAAAGUGGUACGCGAGCUGGGUUUAGAACGUCGUGAGACAGUUCGGUCCCUAUCUGCCGUGGGCGCUGGAGAAUUGAGGGGGGCUGCUCCUAGUACGAGAGGACCGGAGUGGACGCAUCACUGGUGUUCGGGUUGUCAUGCCAAUGGCAUUGCCCGGUAGCUAAAUGCGGAAGAGAUAAGUGCUGAAAGCAUCUAAGCACGAAACUUGCCCCGAGAUGAGUUCUCCCUGAGACUUUAAGUCUCCUGAAGGAACGUUAAAGACGAUGACGUUGAUAGGUCGGGUGUGUAAGCGUAGCGAUACGUUGAGCUAACCGAUACUAAUGAACCGUGAGGCUUAACCUU
rnacentral:rRNA from 1 species